rnacentral:rRNA from 1 species
UACGGAGGGUGCAAGCGUUAUCCGGAUUCACUGGGUUUAAAGGGUGCGUAGGUGGGCAGUUAAGUCAGUGGUGAAAUCUCCGGGCUCAACCCGGAAACUGCCAUUGAUACUAUCUAUCUUGAAUAUCGUGGAGGUAAGCGGAAUAUGUCAUGUAGCGGUGAAAUGCUUAGAUAUGACAUAGAACACCAAUUGCGAAGCCAGCUUACUACCCGAAUAUUGACACUGAGGCACGAAAGCGUGGGGAUCAAACAGG